CUGUUACUCCCUCCGUCCCAAAAUUCUUGUCUUACGUUUGUCUAGAAAUGGAUGUAUCUAAAUACUAACACAUGACUAGAUACAUCCAUAUCUAGACAAAUCAAAAACAAUAAUUUUGGGACGGAGGGAGUACAUU
rnacentral:pre_miRNA from 1 species